rnacentral:rRNA from 1 species
CACAUGCGUCGAACGAUGACGGCCGUGCUUGCACGGUCUGAUUAGUGGCGAACGGGUGAGUAACACGUGAGUAACCUGCCCUCCACUUCGGGAUAACCUCGGGAAAUCGUGGCUAAUACCGGAUAUGAGCACUCAUCGCAUGGUGGGUGUUGGAAAGAUUUAUCGGUGGGGGAUGGACUCGCGGCCUAUCAGUUUGUUGGUGAGGUGAUGGCUCACCAAGACGAUGACGGGUAGCCGGCCUGAGAGGGCGACCGGCCACACUGGGACUGAGACACGGCCCAGACUCCUACGGGAGGCAGCAGUGGGGAAUAUUGCACAAUGGGCGAAAGCCUGAUGCAGCGACGCCGCGUGAGGGAUGACGGCCUUCGGGUUGUAAACCUCUUUCAGUAGGGAAGAAGCGAGAGUGACGGUACCUGCAGAAGAAGCGCCGGCUAACUACGUGCCAGCAGCCGCGGUAAUACGUAGGGCGCAAGCGUUGUCCGGAAUUAUUGGGCGUAAAGAGCUUGUAGGUGGCUUGUCGCGUCUGCCGUGAAAACCCGAGGCUCAACCUCGGGCGUGCGGUGGGUACGGGCAGGCUAGAGUGUGGUAGGGGAGACUGGAACUCCUGGUGUAGCGGUGAAAUGCGCAGAUAUCAGGAAGAACACCGAUGGCGAAGGCAGGUCUCUGGGCCAUUACUG